rnacentral:pre_miRNA from 1 species
UCUCCAUUUCCCGUGCUCUCUCGGCAGUCAGAGUGAGCGAGAGAGCGUGCGAAAUGGAGAGA